CUGGCGCCGCCUUGCAGCAGCACCAGCAGGAGCAGCACCAACAACAUUCUCAACAGCAACAACUUUUGGAUCCCAUAAAUAGCAUGUUUAAUCUCGGGUGGCAUACAAUGAGUGGAAGCAAUGGAAGUAGAAAUAAUGAUAGAAAAGAGAGCUAAUGGUAUAUAGGUGGGGGCAGAGAAGAUGCUGGGGUAUUUGAGAAUUGGCCAAGGGGAUUGUAGAUAGUGUCAGUUCCUCAAUGUUUUCUUGUUUUUCUGUUAUUGGUUACUAUUUUCUGCACUCUUUCUGGUUUAUGUGUUACUGUUUUUUGUACACAUUUUGGAUUGUAGGGAGCUUAGCUCCAAUUUUCCGGUUCAAUAUUAUUUUGUAUUUUCCAGUUAGUAACAAAUUUUAUAUGAAACUUGGGGAGUACCACUAUGCAAGAGCUAGCCAUUUUGGUUGGAGAGCCCAAGGCCUGCCAUUGGAUCCUAAUGUCCUACAAUGCUCUGCAGCCUUGGCACUAAUGCUAAUGUCACCACUCGUGCCAUUAGUACAAACCUUGGCAGCUGAGAGACUUGAUGAAAGCCUUGCCAUCAAUUGGUACGAACCUCGGGAGAGCUAUGCCACAAGCUAGCUGUUGUGGUUGGAGUCCAACAUAUAAUCCUCACACUGGAAUCCCAUACUUCUGAUAUGGGACUCAAGUCCCCAUACUUAGCAAAUGGAUCCUGAGUCCUGACAGAUGUCUCGUCUAGCUAUUGUAUUCUGGGUUUUCAAAUAACACUACUCUUUGGAGUCCUCGUCCUAACAAUGUCAAGACUAAUAAAGGCAUAAUGCCUUUCUUUCCUUGGUUCCAUUGAUAAAUCUCUUAUGUAGUCUUAUUAGUAUAUUAUUCAGAAUAUACUUAUCACAUGCUAUGUUCUGUUCGUUUGUUUUGAAUUAUGCUUUAUGGUGUCUUAGUGAUGUAUCAACUGCUGUCUAGUUUACUUGUCUUGUCUUUGUUGGUGCCAAAAUAAGUAUUUCCUUACAAUUUUAGGCAUAUUUCAUGACUAUUUAUAAGUUCAGCUCCGGUGAACGAAAAGUUUGUGAUUUUCAAGGCAUAAAACGUAUCUUUCCCUUUCUUCCUUCCUUAUUGUACAUUAUUUGAGGGUUAUAUUGAUUAUUACAUUGUCUUUGUAAAAACUGUCAUAUAUUACAGGGCCGCCUGUGCUUGGGGGCAAUGAUUGCUCAUGAAUAGAGAAAUUUCAACUUGAAGUUGUAACUUGCAAAGCCACACCUUGAAGCCUACCCAAUGGUAGAUCUUAGUACUGAAGGUUGAACAUUGGGUGCAUUUGAAGAUGAGUGUAUGAUUGCCUUGUGUUCUAUAAAACCAGUGCAAGAUUAUUAACGCCAGUCCUUAAUUUUGUUUUGCUAUUACCAAUAGCUAUAGUUGUAGGAGGCCUACUUCGAGUUAUGAAAUCGUCUUUGGUAUGACAAUACUGAUUAGAUCUUUGCCUUUUGGUAAUGUGAACCUUGUUAGUUAAUGUAUCUUUGUCUCGCGUCGUGCUAGUGAACAUUUAUGUUAAGUAGAUUUCGUAUAAAUAAGUGUUGGGCAUAUAACCCCUUAAAUUGAUCUAUCCUAUGUUGAUAAGUUAUGAUUUGAUUACACUCGAGUAAGACAGUUUUGUUCGUAUGCUUUUGUUAAUAAUGUCAUCUAACAAUUAUUAUAUAUACACCAAUGAUAUGAUUUUGCACUACAUGCUUGUAUCAUCCCAGAAAUUUGUGUGAUUCAAUAAUGGUGAUUGGAGUAUGAACUCUGAAGUAUGCUUGAUAUUAUAUAACUACAUUGUUACUUUUUUCGAGAAAAAGUAGCCCAAAUCAAUUUAUUAUUGAUCAAGGACAAUCCGCUAGUAAAUACAAAAGCAUUAUUAGUCCAGCACUGAAGAGAAGUCCAAUUCAAGUUUAAUCCAUAAAGGUACUAACACAGAAGUGUUCUAUCUUUUUCCUAGCAUAGACAUCUGAGGCAAGAAAUUAAAGUAAGAAAAAUACAAAGAAAUUAUAAUAUACAUUAA
rnacentral:lncRNA from 1 species